UAGAAGAUUAACAUGAAAGUUCCUCAUGUC
rnacentral:piRNA from 1 species